AACGAACGCUGGCGGCAGGCCUAACACAUGCAAGUCGAACGCCGUAGCAAUACGGAGUGGCAGACGGGUGAGUAACACGUGGGAACGUACCCCUCGGUUCGGGAUAACUCAGGGAAACUUGAGCUAAUACCGGAUACGUCCGAGAGGAGAAAGAUUUAUCGCCGAGGGAUCGGCCCGCGUCUGAUUAGCUUGUUGGUGAGGUAACGGCUCACCAAGGCGACGAUCAGUAGCUGGUCNGAGAGGAUGAUCAGCCACAUUGGGACUGAGACACGGCCCAAAACUCCUACGGGAGGCAGCAGUGGGGAAUAUUGGACAAUGGGCGCAAGCCUGAUCCAGCCAUGCCGCGUGAGUGAUGAAGGCCCUAGGGUUGUAAAGCUC
rnacentral:rRNA from 1 species